rnacentral:rRNA from 1 species
UGGGGAAUUUUGGACAAUGGGCGAAAGCCUGAUCCAGCAAUGCCGCGUGUGUGGAAGAAGGCCUUCGGGUUGUAAAGCACUUUUGUCCGGAAAGAAAUCCUUGGCUCUAAUACAGUCGGGGGAUGACGGUACCGGAAGAAUAAGCACCGGCUAACUACGUGCCAGCAGCCGCGGUAAUACGUAGGGUGCAAGCGUUAAUCGGAAUUACUGGGCGUAAAGCGUGCGCAGGCGGUUUGCUAAGACCGAUGUGAAAUCCCCGGGCUCAACCUGGGAACUGCAUUGGUGACUGGCAGGCUAGAGUAUGGCAGAGGGGGGUAGAAUUCCACGUGUAGCAGUGAAAUGCGUAGAGAUGUGGAGGAAUACCGAUGGCGAAGGCAGCCCCCUGGGCCAAUACUGACGCUCAUGCACGAAAGCGUGGGGAGCAAACAGGAUUAGAUACCCUGGUAGUCCACGCCCUAAACGAUGUCAACUAGUUGUUGGGGAUUCAUUUCCUUAGUAACGUAGCUAACGCGUGAAGUUGACCGCCUGGGGAGUACGGUCGCAAGAUUAAAACUCAAAGGAAUUGACGGGGUCAUAGCUGUUUCCU